rnacentral:rRNA from 1 species
UACGUAGGGUGCAAGCGUUAAUCGGAAUUACUGGGCGUAAAGCGUGCGCAGGCGGUUCUUUAAGACCGAUGUGAAAUCCCCGGGCUCAACCUGGGAACUGCAUUUGUGACUGUAGAGCUGGAGUACGGCAGAGGGGGAUGGAAUUCCGCGUGUAGCAGUGAAAUGCGUAGAUAUGCGGAGGAACACCGAUGGCGAAGGCAAUCCCCUGGGCCUGUACUGACGCUCAUGCACGAAAGCGUGGGGAGCAAACAGG